CGAGCACUCGUAGACGAACUGCCGUUGACAAACGGAGGAAGGUGGGAUGACGUCAAAUCAUCAUGCCCUUAUGUUCUGGGCUACACACGUGCUACAAUGGCCGGUACAGACGGACGCAAAGCCGCGAGGUGGAGCAAAUCCUAAGAAAGCCGGUCUCAGUUCGGAUUGCAGGCUGCAAUUCGCCUGCAUGAAGUCGGAAUCGCUAGUAAUCGCAGGUCAGCAUACUGCGGUGAAUACGUUCCCGGGCCUU
rnacentral:rRNA from 1 species